AUGGCUGUCGUCAGCUCGUGUCGUGAGAUGUUGGGUUAAGUCCCGCAACGAGCGCAACCCUUGUCCGAUGUUACCAGCGGGUUAUGCCGGGGACUCGUCGGAGACUGCCGGGGUCAACUCGGAGGAAGGUGGGGAUGACGUCAAGUCAUCAUGCCCCUUACGUCCAGGGCUGCACACAUGCUACAAUGGCCGGUACAACGGGCUGCUAUCCCGCGAGGGGGAGCCAAUCCCAAAAGCCGGUCUCAGUUCGGAUUGCAGUCUGCAACUCGACUGCAUGAAGUCGGAGUCGCUAGUAAUCCCGGAUCAGCAACGCCGGGGUGAAUACGUUCCCGGGCCUUGUACACACCGCCCGUCACACCACGAAAGUCGGCAACACCCGAAGCCGGUGGCCCAACCCCUUGGGGAGGGAGCCGUCGAAGGUGGGGUCGGCGAUUGGGGUGAAGUCGUAACAAGGUAGCCGUACCGGAAGGUGCGGCUGGAUCACCUCCUUUCUAAGGAGUCAUUUUCUCGACCAUUCCGGUCGAGGACUCCCAGUCGAUCACUGGUUAUUCGGCGGUCAUCCAUUCUCGGCGGCAGUCGAGUCCGACUCGUUCCCCUUGUGGGAGCGGCCCGGGCCGGCCCCGUAUACCGGGGGUGUCUGAUCGUCGGACCUCACUGUUCCGUUUUGAGGGAGCGACUAUGUCUUUGUCGCUGCUUCCGUGAAGUCGACGGCCUCCGGGCUCGUCGACCGCUCGCGCACUUCGUCCGGCCGCCUGUUCCAUAAGGCGGCAGCGCGCGCCCCUUGAGAAUUCCAUAGCGAGCACGAGCAUCUUUGUUCUCCAAGCUACAAAGAGCCAACGGUGGAUGCCUUGGCGCCUGAAGCCUAAGAAGGACGUGGGAGGCUGCGAAAAGCCACGGGGAGCUGCCGACCAAGCUUCGAUCCGUGGAUGUCCGAAUGGGGAAACCCGG
rnacentral:sRNA from 1 species